rnacentral:rRNA from 1 species
CCGUUGCCGGCGACCGGCGCACGGGUGAGUAACACGUAUGCAACCUGCCCGUGGCAGGGGGAUAAGCGGGGGAAACCCCGUCUAAUACCGCGUAACGCGGCCUAGGGACAUCCCAAGGCCGCCAAAGGGAGCAAUCCCGGCCACGGAUGGGCGUGCGGCGCAUUAGCUAGUCGGCGGGGUAACGGCCCACCGAGGCGACGAUGCGUAGGGGUUCUGAGAGGAAGGCCCCCCACACUGGUACUGAGACACGGACCAGACUCCUACGGAAGGCAGCAG